rnacentral:rRNA from 1 species
AACGAACGCUGGCGGCAGGCUUAACACAUGCAAGUCGAACGCCCCGCAAGGGGAGUGGCAGACGGGUGAGUAACGCGUGGGAAUCUACCCAACCCUACGGAACAACUCCGGGAAACUGGAGCUAAUACCGUAUACGCCCUUAGGGGGAAAGAUUUAUCGGGGAUGGAUGAGCCCGCGUUGGAUUAGCCAGUUGGUGGGGUAAAGGCCUUCCAAGGCGACGAUCCAUAGCUGGUCUGAGAGGAUGAUCAGCCACAUUGGGACUGAGACACGGCCCAAACUCCUACGGGAGGCAGCAGUGGGGAAUAUUGGACAAUGGGCGCAAGCCCGAUCCAGCCAUGCCGCGUGAGUGAUGAAGGUCUUAGGAUUGUAAAGCUCUUUCACCGGAGAAGAUAAUGACGGUAUCCGGAGAAGAAGCCCCGGCUAACUUCGUGCCAGCCGCCGCCGUAA